rnacentral:lncRNA from 1 species
AUGUUCAACAUGUCUGUCAGCCUGUAUAUAUCUGAGUAUAUAUUCAACAUGUCUGUCAGCCUGUAUAUAUCUGAGUAUAUAUUCAACAUGUCUGUCAGCCUGUAUAUAUCUGAGUCUAUGUUCAACAUGUCUGUCAGCCUGUAUAUAUCUGAGUCUAUGUUCAACAUGUCUGUCAGCCUGUAUAUAUCUGAGUCUAUGUUCAACAUGUCUGUCAGCCUGUAUAUAUCUGAGUCUAUGUUCAACAUGUCUGUCAGCCUGUAUAUAUCUGAGUCUAUGUUCAACAUGUCUGUCAGCCUGUAUAUAUCUGAGUCUAUGUUCAACAUGUCUGUCAGCCUGUAUAUAUCUGAGUCUAUGUUCAACAUGUCUGUCAGCCUGUAUAUAUCUGAGUAUAUAUUCAACAUGUCUGUCAGCCUGUAUAUAUCUGAGUCUAUAUUCAACAUGUCUGUCAGCCUGUAUAUAUCUGAGUCUAUGUUCAACAUGUCUGUCAGCCUGUAUAUAUCUGAGUCUAUGUUCAACAUGUCUGUCAGCCUGUAUAUAUCUGAGUCUAUGUUCAACAUGUCUGUCAGCCUGUAUAUAUCUGAGUCUAUGUUCAACAUGUCUGUCAGCCUGUAUAUAUCUGAGUCUAUGUUCAACAUGUCUGUCAGCCUGUAUAUAUCUGAGUCUAUGUUCAACAUGUCUGUCAGCCUGUAUAUAUCUGAGUCUAUGUUCAACAUGUCUGUCAGCCUGUAUAUAUCUGAGUCUAUGUUCAACAUGUCUGUCAGCCUGUAUAUAUCUGAGUCUAUGUUCAACAUGUCUGUCAGCCUGUAUAUAUCUGAGUAUAUAUUCAACAUGUCUGUCAGCCUGUAUAUAUCUGAGUCUAUAUUCAACAUGUCUGUCAGCCUGUAUAUAUCUGAGUCUAUGUUCAACAUGUCUGUCAGCCUGUAUAUAUCUGAGUCUAUGUUCAACAUGUCUGUCAGCCUGUAUAUAUCUGAGUCUAUAUUCAACAUGUCUGUCAGCCUGUAUAUAUCUGAGUCUAUGUUCAACAUGUCUGUCAGCCUGUAUAUAUCUGAGUCUAUGUUCAACAUGUCUGUCAGCCUGUAUAUAUCUGAGUCUAUGUUCAACAUGUCUGUCAGCCUGUAUAUAUCUGAGUCUAUAUUCAACAUGUCUGUCAGCCUGUAUAUAUCUGAGUCUAUAUUCAACAUGUCUGUCAGCCUGUAUAUAUCUGAGUCUAUGUUCAACAUGUCUGUCAGCCUGUAUAUAUCUGAGUCUAUGUUCAACAUGUCUGUCAGCCUGUAUAUAUCUGAGUCUAUAUUCAACAUGUCUGUCAGCCUGUAUAUAUCUGAGUCUAUGUUCAACAUGUCUGUCAGCCUGUAUAUAUCUGAGUCUAUGUUCAACAUGUCUGUCAGCCUGUAUAUAUCUGAGUCUAUAUUCAACAUGUCUGUCAGCCUGUAUAUAUCUGAGUCUAUGUUCAACAUGUCUGUCAGCCUGUAUAUAUCUGAGUCUAUGUUCAACAUGUCUGUCAGCCUGGGUGGGGGUGUAGGUCCUGUAUGUUGUUGA